AGAGUUUGAUCCUGGCUCAGAAUGAACGCUGGCGGCGUGCCUAACACAUGCAAGUCGGAUGUGCCGCAAGGUGCAUGGCAGACGGGUGAGUAACGCGUGGGCAAUCUACCUUUUAGUGGGGAAUAACGAUCCGAAAGGAUUGGUAAUACCGCAUGUGAUCAUCGACUGGGAUGUUGGUGAUGAAAGCCGGGGACCGCAAGGCCUGGCGCUAGGAGAGGAGCCCGCGUCUGAUUAGUUAGUUGGUGGGGUAACGGCCUACCAAGACAUCGAUCAGUAGCCGGCCUGAGAGGAUGAUCCGCCACACUGGAACUGGAACACGGACCAGACUCCUACGGGAGGCAGCAGUGAGGAAUAUUGCGCAAUGGGGGAAACCCUGACGCAGCGACGCCGCGUGGGUGAAGAAGGCCUUCGGGUUGUAAAGCCCUGUCAGGUGGGAAGAAGUGUAUCAUGGCUAAUAUCCAUGGUAUUUGACGGUACCACCAAAGGAAGCACCGGCUAACUCCGUGCCAGCAGCCGCGGUAAUACGGAGGGUGCAAGCGUUGUUCGGAUUUACUGGGCGUAAAGGGCGCGUAGGCGGUCUUAUAAGCCAUAUGUGAAAGCCCACGGCUCAACCGUGGAAGUGCAUGUGGAACUGUGAGACUUGAGUAUGGGAGAGGAAAGUGGAAUUCCCGGUGUAGAGGUGAAAUUCGUAGAUAUCGGGAGGAAUACCGGUGGCGAAGGCGACUUUCUGGACCAAUACUGACGCUGAGGCGCGAAAGCGUGGGUAGCAAACAGGAUUAGAUACCCUGGUAGUCC
rnacentral:rRNA from 1 species